rnacentral:rRNA from 1 species
CGGAGUAUGUUGGAAGGGUAACCGGAAGGCAUAUUUAGUGGCGAACGGGUGAGUAAUGCAUGAGAACGUAUCCUCAAGAGGGGGACAACAUUGGGAAACCGAUGCUAAUACCCCAUAAGCCGGGAGGUAAAAGGAGCAAUCCGCUUGAGGAGCGGUUCAUGUCCUAUCAGCUAGUUGGUGAGGUAACGGCUCACCAAGGCGAAGACGGGUAGCCGGCCUGAGAGGGUGAACGGCCACACUGGAACUGAGAGACGGUCCAGACUCCUACGGGAGGCAGCAGUGGGGAAUAUUGGGCAAUGGGGGAAACCCUGACCCAGCGACGCCGCGUGAGGGAAGAAGGCCUUAGGGUCGUAAACCUCUGUUGUGUGGGAAGAAGAGCGUGACGGUACC